rnacentral:misc_RNA from 1 species
GAUGAAGAACGUAGCGAAACGCGAUAUGUAAUGUGAAUUGCAGAAUUCAGUGAAUCAUCGAAUCUUUGAACGCACAUUGCGCCCGCCAGUACUCUGGCGGGCAUGCCUGUCUGAGCGUCAUUUCAACCCUCGCGCCCGGCUUCUGUCGGGGGCGGUGUUGGGGAUCGGCCUCCCGUCUUCCGGGCGGCCGGCCCCUAAAUGGAGUGGCGACCGCGCCGUAGCCUCCUCUGCGUAGUAGUGAAACACUCGCGGGCGGAGAGCGGUGCGGCCCGCCGUAAAACCCCCAACUCUUCUAAGGUUGACCUCAGAUCAGGUAGGAAUACCCGCUGAACUUAAGCAUAUCAAUAAGCGGAGGA